AAUUAAAAAGCAAUAAAAUACAGCACCUGUUAAAAAAAAUCAACAAAAAUAAUACAAUUAUUUAAAAAGAAAAGAAAGUUACAGAUGUUGUGUUAGAGUUCUUAAAAAUAGAUCGAGUUAUGGAUCUAUUGCCCGAAUUUUUUGGGAUGAAAUUUAUUUUUUUGCGAUCUAUGUUUGCAAUGAAAUAGUUUUUUUAGAGAACUUGAAAAUCUCUUGAAUUGAAGUAAUCCAAAAUUAUAUUUUUUUAUUAAAUUGUUGCACUUAAAUACAAGAGGAAGAUAUAACCAUCUCCUAAAAACAGGAAACCAUUAAGCAACAUGGAAGAUUAUCCUCCUAUCACUAAAAAAAAAAUAAAAAUUAACUUGCACUAUCUAUAUUAUGGAUUAACCACUAAGUACAUGACUAAACCACUAACUACAUGACUCUUGAAAAUGUUGAUAACUAACUUGUAAAAAACUAACUUGCAUUAUUUGCUAACAUUACUCUCUUCUCCUCAAGCGCAAACUCAGAAAAUUUCUAGGAAUUAUUCAGCCAGUAGUUGGUCCAUUGCGACAUUUUCUAGGUCGUCAUCUGCUAAAUUCAGUCAGAAUAAUUUCUUGCACUGAUGUCCUUGAAUAAAGGGUUCAUCACAGUUAAAACAAAGUCUUUUUCGCCGUUCCUCUGUCUCAUUGAACCACAUUUUCUAGGUCGUCAUCUGCUAAAUUCAGUCAGAAUAAUUUCUUGCACUGUUGUCCUUGAAUAAAGGAUUCAUCACAGUUAAAACAACAUCUUUUUCUCCGUUCCUUUGUCUCAUUGCGGUUCAAGUACUUAAUGAUUUGGGUACAUUUUGCUUCUUUAUUGAGAUGAAUGAUUGGUUGAAGGACUUGCAACACAUAUGAACCAGUUUUUCCGUUCGUAGAGUCUUGACAUGCUCAUAGCAGUGACUAGUUCUGUUGGUCAAUGAAGUUCCACCUCCACAUCAAUGUAUUCUUAUAACUCACUGAGAUAAAGUUGUAUUUUUUUAUUCUAGAUGAAGUUUCCUGUUCGAGAGACAAUAACCUCAAAUUGGGAACCUCAAAUUGGGUUUGGUAGUCAGCAAUUAUUCUUGCCUGCUUUAAUUUUGCUAGCUCCUCCAAUUUGUUACUACAGAUCGGUGGCCCAAAACGGAAAUUGGUGCUUGAACUCUUCCCAACUCAAGUUAGAAAUAUCUGAGAUAAACUGCAAGAACCACAAUUGAGUUGUACCUUCUAAAUGGAAAGAAGCUAGAUUGACCUUUUCUUCUACAUAAGUUUGUUGGUGUCGAGCUCACACCUACUCAGCCAUCUUCUUGAUCAUUGAAACGAGAAAAAUCUAAUUUGGUGAAUUUUGAAAUAAUCAUACCAUUGUCUAUCUGUACCUGCUGAUCCUACUACUCCAUUGCCUUUGGAUGAGCGAGAAUGGCUGCUUCGCUCGGUCACAAGUUGGGUUAAAGUUGGUAAUGUCACGAGUAAGAGAUUCCAAUUUAGCACUUAGUUCUUCUUGGCGAGCCUUGUUGGCAGCUUGGUUUUUCAAGAAUAAGGUAAGAAUUCGAUCAAAUUGUUGUUAGAUUAAGUCACCCAUAACCCCUUAGUUCUGAUAAUAAAAUGUUAGAGUUCUUAGAAAUGGAUCGAAUUAUGGGCCUAUUGCCUGAAAUUUUUUGGACGAAAUUUUCUUUUUGCGACUUGUAGUUGCAAUAGAACAGACUACUUAGAGAGAACCUGAAAAUUUCUUGAGUUGAAAUACUAAAAAAUUUUGGUAAUUUUUCUCAUAAUUUUUUUAUUGAAUUGUUGCAUUUAAAUACAAGAAGAAAACAUAACCAUCUCUUAAAAGUAGGGAACCAUUAAGCAAUAUAGAGGAUACCCUCCUACCAUUCAAAAAAAGUAAACACUAACUUGCACUAUCUACAUCAUGAAUUAAUUAUUAAGAACAAAGUCUAACCACUAAGAAUAUAGCUAAACCACUAACUACAUGACUCUUGAAAAUAGGACGACUAACUUGUAAAAAACUUACAUUAUUUGCUAACAUACUGCCAUGUUGGGAAGGGGAGAAGAGAUUAAUUAGAAGAAGAGAAGAGAAGAAAAAUAAAAAGAGAGAAUAAGGAGAAGUGGAGAGAGAGAGACCUUUUGCAAGUUGGAACUUAGGAGUGGGAGAGAGUGUUUAGGAGAGCUUGAGAUUGUCUUGUGGCUGCUUUAGAAUCUACAAAAAGAGUUACUAUGGAUUUUGCUUAAAACGCAUUUAAGAAAGGGAAAAAAAGGCUAUUGUUAAAGAGGCAGUGCUUCAUGCUCUUGGCGCUUGGUGCCUCUCUUCACUUGAGUGAGCGCCUCAGUGAAGGGGGCCUUGCCUGGUCCAGGCGAGGCAAGGCAAUGGCACCUUGCCUCAUCCGAGUACCUUACUAGCAGCUUAAUAACACUAGGUGGGACUAACAUUUAUUUCGUCAUUUCAUUUUAGUUAAAUUUAUAUUAAGCGGUGUUAUACAUUCUUAUUUAUAUUUUGAUUCAAUAGUGAGAAAGACAUUUCCAUAGAAUUGUGUGUAUGAACUAUGAAGAGAAGUACUCUUUUUCUCUUGUUACAUGGAUAACCCUGGAAACACUUGCCUUUACCAAUCGUAUGACACCUAUCUAAUAGAUAAUUGCCAAGUGCCAUGUAAUUAAGUGACGUCUAAUUGAUAUGUUAUUCACCUGUACUUGGUUUAGGCAAGUUUUUUGGAUAAUGAUGGCUUGCUUAUCUCUUCUGGUCAACAGUCUCCCCUCUCUUUCAUUUCCAAGAUACUCUCGAUAAUGGUUGAUUUCUGAAAGUUUUGCAUACUGUUCAAUGCAUGCGGAUGAAUUUUAAUAGCCAAUUCCCUUGGUUCGUGGGUUUAUAAAGUUCAUAUGGGGAGAUUCCGAUGGUCUCUUUGCUAACAUGAAAAGAUAAGGCUGACUUGCCAAAUUAGAGAGCUGGUGGGCGAUUUGGAUAACUUUGGAUUGCCUUGUCGAUUUGUGCCUAUUUAAGUGUUUUCAGGACAAACCCAACUUUGCCUUCACAUGGUUAAUCAUUUGCUAGGGUGAGGGUCUGCAUCCACCAGACGGAUAUCAGUGUUUUCUUUUUUUUGGCUUCUUCAGUGAAAAUGAUGGCCAUCCUCCCAUCUCGGAUUAAUUGAGUGCAACCACGUAAAUUCGUGUCUGAUAUGUGAUGCCUGGUGGUCCACAUGAUGCACUGUUUUUGGAAUUGCACUGCAGGGAUGCCUGUCCAGUGGAGUGUGAAAGAAAAACAAAAGCAAUAUACAGCAAAGACAGGGAAGAUUGAUCACAAAGGUAGCUUUCUUAGCCUUACGUGAGAAAUAAUUUGUGUCAUCCCAGCAAAGGGGGAAGAUAUAUACUAGUGGUUCUCCGUUUUAGGAGGAAUAAGUGUCCGCUUGCUUUAUUUCCUAUAUGUGGCUGUGUUGAUUGCUGUGAUAUUUAGUUUAGGCAGGGACACAUGGGCAGUCCUACCCUCUUGUCUCCUGCAGAUUUUUCUGAAAACUUGUGAACAUCAAACAACUCACAAGAGUUUCUUAGAUCACUCUACAUUUUAAUUGUACCAACAUAAUUAAGGGAGUGAAUGAAUGCUGCCUUCCAAAUUUGGCUCUAAGGAGAGCGUCCUUUCUAGUUGACUAUGCGACAGGUUAGCCAAAUUUGGAAAUGGGGCAUAUGGAUAUGGUUGGUAUAAUCUAUGAAGAAAUGGGUGGCUAUUUCUUUUACAUUUUGUUUAUCUUUUUCAUAGAAGUCUUUGUUCAAGAAAAUUGCAACUGUGAAUCAGUGUAAAGAAUAAAACAAUGGAGCAUGUUGUGUGAAGAUUGGAGCAGUAACAAUUGGUUAAUUGA